GAUGAACGCUGACAGAAUGCUUAACACAUGCAAGUCAACUUGAAUUUGGGUUUUUAACUUAGGUUUGGGUGGCGGACGGGUGAGUAACGCGUAAAGAACUUGCCUCACAGCUAGGGACAACAUUUGGAAACGAAUGCUAAUACCUAAUAUUAUGAUAAUAGGGCAUCCUAUAAUUAUGAAAGCUAUAAGCGCUGUGAGAGAGCUUUGCGUCCCAUUAGCUAGUUGGAGAGGUAACGGCUCACCAAGGCGAUGAUGGGUAGCCGGCCUGAGAGGGUGAUCGGGCACAUUGGGACUGAGAUAAGGCACAGACGCAUAGGGGAGGCAGUAGUGGGGAAUAGUGCAGAAUGGGCGGAAGGCUGAUGAAGCAACGCCGCGUGGGGGAAAACGGACGUCGGGAUGUAAACCGCUAUCGCCUGUGACGAAGCGUGAGUGACGGGAAUGGGUAAAGAAGCACCGGCUAAAUACGUG
rnacentral:rRNA from 1 species